CGCGUAGGCGGCUUUGCAAGUGACGGGUGAAAUCCCUCGGCUUAACCGAGGAACUGCCUGUCAAACUGCAUGGCUUGAGACCGGGAGAGGUGAGUGGAAUUCCCAGUGUAGCGGUGAAAUGCGUAGAUAUUGGGAGGAACACCAGUGGCGAAGGCGGCUCACUGGACCGGAACUGACGCUGAUGCGCGAAAGCGUGGGGAGCAAACAG
rnacentral:rRNA from 1 species